rnacentral:tRNA from 2 species
UCCUGUAUAGCUUAAGUUGGUUAGAGCGCUACAUUUAUUAAGUAGAGACCGGCGGUUCGAUUCCGUCUACAGGAA